GUAGUUGUGGUUUAAUUCGAUGCAACGCGAGAACUUACCUGGUCUUGACAUCCCGGAGACCUUUAGGAAACUAGGGGUGCUUCCAUCUGGAAGAAUCUGGAGACAGGUGCUGCAUGGCUGUCGUCAGCUCGUGUCGUGAGAUGUUGGGUUAAGUCCCGCAACGAGCGCAACCCUUGCCUUUAGUUGCCAGCAGUUCGGCUGGGCACUCUAAAGGGACUGCCGGUGUUAAACCGGAGGAAGGUGGGGAUGACGUCAAGUCCUCAUGGCCUUUAUGACCAGGGCUACACACGUACUACAAUGGCCGAUACAAAGGGCAGCGACACUGCGAGGUGAAGCCAAUCCCGUAAAAUCGGUCUCAGUCCGGAUUGGAGUCUGCAACUCGACUCCAUGAAGUUGGAAUCGCUAGUAAUCGUGGAUCAGCGUGCCACGGUGAAUACGUUCCCGGGCCUU
rnacentral:rRNA from 1 species